rnacentral:rRNA from 1 species
UCGGUUGAUCCUGCCGGAGGUUACUGCUAUCGGAGUUCGAUUAAGCCAUGCGAGUCUAAAGGUUUCUUCGGAAACCUUGGCGGACUGCUCAGUAACACGUGGAUAACCUACCCUUGGGACUGGAAUAACCCCGGGAAACUGGGGAUAAUACCGGAUAGAUCAGGGAUGCUGGAAUGCACCUUGAUCCAAAGCUCCGGCGCCCAAGGAUGGGUCUGCGGCCUAUCAGGUAGUAGUGGGUGUAACGUACCUACUAGCCAACGACGGGUACGGGUUGUGAGAGCAAGAGCCCGGAGAUGGAUUCUGAGACACGAAUCCAGGCCCUACGGGGUGCAGCAGGCGCGAAACCUUUACAAUGUGCGAAAGCAUGAUAAGGGAACUCCGAGUGCCAGCAUCUAAUGUUGGCUGUCCUUGUGCCUAAAACGCACAAGAUAGCAAGGGCCGGGUAAGACCGGUGCCAGCCGCCGCGGUAACACCGGCGGCCCGAGUGGUAGCCGCUAUUAUUGGGUCUAAAGGGUCCGUAGCCGGUUCGAUAAGUCCUCUGGGAAAUCUGGUUGCUUAACAAUCAGACUGCCAAGGGAUACUGUCGAACUUGAGACCGGGAGAGGUAAGAGGUACUUCAGGGGUAGGAGUGAAAUCUUGUAAUCCCUGGGGGANCAUCUGUGGCGAAGGCGUCUUACCAGAACGGGUCUGACGGUGAGGGACGAAAGCUGGGGGCGCAAACCGGAUUAGAUACCCNGGUAGUCCCAGCCGUAAACGAUGCUCGCUAUGUGUCNNNACGGUGUGACCGUAUCUGGUGCCNUNGGAAGCCGUGAANCGANCCACCUGGNAA